GAGUGGCGGACGGGUGAGUAAUGUCUGGGGAUCUGCCCGAUGGAGGGGGAUAACUACUGGAAACGGUAGCUAAUACCGCAUAACGUCGCAAGACCAAAGUGGGGGACCUUCGGGCCUCACACCAUCGGAUGAACCCAGAUGGGAUUAGCUAGUAGGUGGGGUAACGGCUCACCUAGGCGACGAUCCCUAGCUGGUCUGAGAGGAUGACCAGCCACACUGGAACUGAGACACGGUCCAGACUCCUACGGGAGGCAGCAGUGGGGAAUAUUGCACAAUGGGCGCAAGCCUGAUGCAGCCAUGCCGCGUGUAUGAAGAAGGCCUUCGGGUUGUAAAGUACUUUCAGCGGGGAGGAAGGUGUUGUUAAUAACUUCAGCAAUUGACGUUACCCGCAGAAGAAGCACCGGCUAACUCCGUGCCAGCAGCCGCGGUAAUACGGAGGGUGCAAGCGUUAAUCGGAAUUACUGGGCGUAAAGCGCACGCAGGCGGUCUGUCAAGUCGGAUGUGAAAUCCCCGGGCUUAACCUGGGAACUGCAUUCGAAACUGGCAGGCUAGAGUCUUGUAGAGGGGGGUAGAAUUCCAGGUGUAGCGGUGAAAUGCGUAGAGAUCUGGAGGAAUACCGGUGGCGAAGGCGGCCCCCUGGACAGAGACUGACGCUCAGGUGCGAAAGCGUGGGGAGCAAACAGGAUUAGAUACCCUGGUAGUCCACGCUGUAAACGAUGUCGACUUGGAGGUUGUGCCCUUGAGGCGUGGCUUCCGGAGCUAACGCGUUAAGUCGACCGCCUGGGAGUACGGCCGCAAGGUUAAAACUCAAAUGAAUUGACGGGGGCCCGCACAAGCGGUGGAGCAUGUGGUUUAUUCGAUGCAACGCGAAGAACCUUACCUGGCCUUGACUCCACGGAAUUUGGCAGAGAUGCUUUAGUGCCUUCGGGAACUGAGACAGGUGCUGCUGCUGUCGUCAGCUCGUGUUGGAAAUGUGGGUUAAUCCCGCAACGAGCGCAACCCUUAUCCUUGUGCCGCGAUUCGGUCGGGAACUCAAAGGAGACGCCGGUGAUAAACCGGAGGAAGGUGGGGAUGACGUCAGUCAUCUGGCCCUUACGGCCAGGGCUACCACCUGUACAAGGCGCAUACAAAGAGAAGCGACCUCGCGAGACAAGCGGACCUCAUAAAAUGCGUGUCUCCGGAUGGA
rnacentral:rRNA from 1 species